rnacentral:tRNA from 1 species
CGCGGGAUGGAGCAGUCUGGUAGCUCGUCGGGCUCAUAACCCGGAGGUCGCUGGUUCAAAUCCAGCUCCCGCAA